rnacentral:lncRNA from 1 species
UUACAAAAAGCGGCCCACAUAAAUCCAUGUCAUACAAGAAAAGGGUCUCAACAACUCAUUCCAAUCGUCAUGAGAGUGAUUUUCCGUUGAACACGACUACUGUCUGUCAUACCGACUAAUGUGAACGACCAUUCAAUCAGUACGUAAGCCUCAGUUUUCAAUAGAUGAAUUCGAAGCUUCCCUCGUACUCACUCUAUCCCUAAAUAUUUGACGCCGUUGACUUUUUUAAACAUGUUUGACCAUUUAAAUUAUUUAAAAACUUUUUUUUCAACAGAGACAUGCAAAAAAAAAGAGCUCAUCAUUAUCCCCCUGGCAGAAAUGCCAUCAACUUUUUUUUCAAAUAUGAUUUCUUCUUAAGAAUCCAAAAUGUCACGGCCAAGAGCAUCCAAUUCAUCAGGAAUCUGUUAUCCCCCAUCAACCUCAGGUGACCUACAAGGUGAAAUGAGUGAACAAGAAAGUUACAAAGAUGAACAAAAUCAUCAAAAUUACUGCAAUCAUAGUGCAAUAAACUCCAGAUACAUGAUAGUCUUAACUCUUAUCAUAAGAAAAAAAACUAUUCUAGAGCAAAGUAUUGUAUCUUGCAUCUAACACAUCCAUUAGAGGUGCCAUUCUUGUAUGACGAUUCAGAAAUCUACUACUCGUUCUGCUUGUAAAAAUAAUUAACAAGGUUUUUGCAAAUCAGACAGCGUGAACCCAAUGACAAAGAGUGCUGGUCCGUGGCCAAAUCUAAUUUUCAUUAUUUAUUCCUUGCAAAGGAACAAUCUCUGUAGUACUACACAAUAUGCACUGGAUAUUGCUAGUUUAUGCUCAAAAUGUGUACUAAAUCACCAUUUUAAAAAAAAAGAGAUUUUUUAUGGUCCAGCAAAUUGUACCGCUCGGUACCAGUACGCAUCUGCCGUUCGUUCCGGCAUGGGUAGGAUCGGAAGAGAGUGGCGCUGGCCAUGCCUUGAAGCAAUCAAGUGGC